GAUGAAGAACGCAGCGAAAUGCGAUAAGUAAUGCGAAUUGCAGAAUUCCAGUGAGUCAUCGAAUCUUUGAACGCACAUUGCGCCCCCUGGUAUUCCGGGGGGCAUGCCUGUCCGAGCGUCAUUGCUGCCCUCAAGCACGGCUUGUGUGUUGGGCCUCCGUCCUCCUCCCGGGGGACGGGCCCGAAAGGCAGCGGCGGCACCGCGUCCGGUCCUCGAGCGUAUGGGGCUUCGUCACCCGCUCUUGUAGGCCCGGCCGGCGCUUGCCGACACAUCAAUCUUUUUUCCAGGUUGACCUCGGAUCAGGUAGGGAUACCCGCUGAACUUAAGCAUAGCAAUAAGCGGAGGA
rnacentral:misc_RNA from 1 species